UACGUAGGCAGCGAGCGUUGUUCGGAGUUCCUGGGCGUAAAGAGUGCGUAGGCGGUUUUCUAAGUUUGGUGUGAAAUCUCCCGGCUCAACUGGGAGGGUGCGCCGAAGACUGGAAGGCUUGAGUAUGGGAGAGGUAAGCGGAAUUCCUGGUGUAGCGGUGAAAUGCGUAGAUAUCAGGAGGAACACCUGCGGUGUAGACGGCUUACUGGACCAUAACUGACGCUGAGGCACGAAAGCGUGGGUAGCAAACAGG
rnacentral:rRNA from 1 species